AUUGAACGCUGGCGGCAGGCCUAACACAUGCAAGUCGAACGGUAACAGGAAACAGCUUGCUGUCUCGCUGACGAGUGGCGGCCGGGUGAGUAAUGUCUGGGAAACUUCCUGAUGGAGGGGGAUAACUACUGGAAACGGUAGCUAAUACCGCAUAACGUCGCAAGACCAAAGAGGGGGACCCUCGGGCCUCUUGCCAUCGGAUGUGCCCAGAUGGGAUUAGCUUGUUGGCGGGGUAACGGCUCACCAAGGCGACGAUCCCUAGCUGGUCUGAGAGGAUGACCAGCCACACUGGAACUGAGACACGGUCCAGACUCCUACGGGAGGCAGCAGUGGGGAAUAUUGCACAAUGGGCGCAAGCCUGAUGCAGCCAUGCCGCGUGUAUGAAGAAGGCCUUCGGGUUGUAAAGUACUUUCAGCGGGGAGGAAGGGAGUAAAGUUAAUACCUUUGCUCAUUGACGUUACCCGCAGAAGAAGCACCGGCUAACUCCGUG
rnacentral:rRNA from 1 species